rnacentral:lncRNA from 1 species
AUGGGAAGAGGGCUGAAGACUGAGCAGGAGAAAAAGCAAAGAACAACCUUGGACCUGCUGAGUGACUUGACGGAAUACCUGGCUGACGAUGGGAAGAAGAUCCCCAUUCCACCCCUCCCGGAGAACUUUGUGAUAUUGCCAGAAAUGAAUCAUACAUCUGAGGCCAUAGGGGAGAAUGUCAUCACUUCUAUCUUCUCCUACACAGUCUUCAAGAAACCUCAUUCCUUCUCUUGUACCCCUCAAACGGUGAGUGAUGCCCUCAGUGGAACAUCAUGGUGUUACUGUGGAGUCAGCGUCCUCCACCAAACCCUUCAGCCUCCUGGAUCAGCCUAGGAGGCUCCUGAUUUUAGGAGUCCUUUCCUAAGCACCUGCUUAUCUCCUGUUUUCACUGGCCCAGCACGGGGAGCUAUAGAGAAGGAGGUGCGUUAGAGCACAGCAUCCAACUGUCCUGCAGCCUUAAGGCCUAUCCCCCUGGAUCUGAGCUCGGGUAGCUGGGCCAAGCCUCUGUUGGUGCUGCAAUGUCCGCGCCGCUUUUUUAGCACCCUAGCACAUGCCCUGCUACAUAGGUCUGUCUGCCUGGGCUGGGAGACUCGCUCCACACUGCAGGUAGACGUACCCUUAGCGACCAGGCUCGAGUGCUGGGCAGUAUAAUGGGUGGAGCGGUGCGGGGUUGCAGUCACUCUAGCUAUAUCAGUGUGGCCGCUGCUGGUUCGAGGACGUGCUUGAAGAAGGAUCUCUGAAUGAAGGGUUUUUGGGGGUAGAGUAUAAGGGGAGUUGGAGAUUACCAGAGGCAUGGGGCAUAGACAAAGGGGAAAGCCAAGGGAGGGAACGGGAGGUCAGCCAGGGAGAGGAGGUACAAGAGGGAAAAUUAAGGGGGGAAUUCAAGGGAAGACCAGGGAGGAUUAAGUUGGGAGUACAGGCAAGAGGCUGAAUAUAUGCAAACAAGGCAGUGCGUGUUCAUUAAAUAUACAUUUUUUUAUGCAAAUGCAGAAAUAGUCUAAUCUCCAGCUUUCUAGGCCUGGAGCCUGAUCAGGUAUGGUACUGCCUCCGCGGGGUUUGGAGAUCUCUGUGCAAAGCUAUAUCCUUACUGAUGCAGCCGUUUGUUCUUCAUUCACCUGAAACAGGUUGGAUUUAGUUAAUUAAAAGCUGUAGAAAGUCUGGGCUAGGAGGAAGAACCUACAGAAUAUGGUUAGAAUUAAAAAAAAGCCAAUGGAGAAGAGCCAAAUAGCACUGAAGACCUUUACUGACCCUGCCAGGUGGGGUUUCAUUCCUGGAAACUCAGCACAAUACACAGAGCUUAGUGGGAACAAGGACAGAGAUCUAGUCAGCUAAA